rnacentral:rRNA from 1 species
AACGAACGCUGGCGGCAGGCUUAACACAUGCAAGUCGAGCGCCCCGCAAGGGGAGCGGCAGACGGGUGAGUAACGCGUGGGAAUCUACCCAUCUCUACGGAAUAACGCAUGGAAACGUGUGCUAAUACCGUAUACGUCCUUCGGGAGAAAGAUUUAUCGGAGAUGGAUGAGCCCGCGUUGGAUUAGCUAGUUGGUGGGGUAAAGGCCUACCAAGGCGACGAUCCAUAGCUGGUCUGAGGGGAUGAUCAGCCACACUGGGACUGAGACACGGCCCAGACUCCUUCGGGAGGCAGCAGUGGGGAAUAUUGGACAAUGGGCGCAAGCUUGAUCCAGCCAUGCCUCGUGAGUGAUGAAGGCCCUAGGGUUGUAAAGCUCUUUCACCGGUGAAGAUAAUGACGGUAACCGGAGAAGAAGCCCCGGCUAACUUCGUGCCAGCCGCCGCGGUAAAAC